AUUCAGGGGUGCUGACGGUAAGUCGGCUGAGAUUACGAAUACUCCUUCGUUGACCCUUAAACCUGAUACGGAUAAUGCCGUCGUAGGAAGUGUAAAAUA
rnacentral:ncRNA from 1 species